AGGGGUAUAGCUCAGUGGUAGAGCAUUCGACUGUAGAUCGAAAUGUCCCC
rnacentral:tRNA from 1 species